rnacentral:lncRNA from 1 species
CAUGCGAGAGGUAGCGUGUGCCCGUAGACAGUGUGUGCACUUCUCAUCUUCACACUAGAGACAGCAUAUGCCCGUGGGCGACGUGUGCAUAUCUCAUCUUCACGCGAGAGACAGUGUGUGCCUAUAGGUAGCGUGUGCACUUCUCGUCUUCACACGAGAGGCAGCAUGUGCCUAUAAGUACUAUAUACACUUUUCAUCUUCACGUGAGAGGCUACAUCUAUCCGUAGAUAGCGUAUGCACAUCUCACGAUUACAAACUGAGGGUCUUAUAAGUUAGCCCUCCAGAGGUUCCUUAGGGUCUUCCUUCAUUUCUUGCAUGACUCGAGCUCUGAUGGGGUCUUAUAAGUUAGCCGCACCUCUAAAUUAUGGAGGAUUGAUCAUUGAUCAC